rnacentral:rRNA from 1 species
GACGAACGCUGGCGGCGUGCUUAACACAUGCAAGUCGAACGCUGAAGCUUGGUGCUUGCACUGGGUGGAUGAGUGGCGAACGGGUGAGUAAUACGUGAGUAACCUGCCCUUGACUCUGGGAUAGGCCUGGGAAACUGGGUCUAAUACUGGAUACGACAUGCCACUGCAUGGUGGUGUGUGGAAAGGGUUUUACUGGUUUUGGAUGGGCUCACGGCCUAUCAGCUUGUUGGUGGGGUAAUGGCCUACCAAGGCGACGACGGGUAGCCGGCCUGGGAGGGUGACCGGCCACACUGGACUGAGACACGGCCCAGACUCCUACGGGAGGCAGCAGUGGGGAAUAUUGCACAAUGGGCGGAAGCCUGAUGCAGCGACGCCGCGUGAGGGAUGACGGCCUUCGGGUUGUAAACCUCUUUCAGCACGGAAGAAGCGAGAGUGACGGUACGUGCAGAAGAAGCGCCGGCUAACUACGUG